rnacentral:ribozyme from 1 species
GCAUAUGGAUCAUAUAAACACGCUCAAUACAAAAAAAAAAAAAAAUAAUAUCAAAUUUAUGUAGAGCUGCAAAGUUGGGGGCGGCAGCUUUUUUUUUUUUUUUUUUUUGGGCUUUUUU